CUAGCCCCUGUGGCCUCAGCCAGUUUCAGCGCAUUUGGGGUUUUUUUUUUGCACUUGAGAAGCCUCAUCAACAAAUUGAGAACAAUACUAUGAAUUUCGUAACAGAGCAUUUUUUAAGUGCUCAAUAAACGUAGCCAGCCCAAGCUUGUCCCUGGAGCUCCAGGCGACAUUCAGAGGCCCAUUUAUCCUGCCAUCAACCUGGGACUGAAUUCCUAAGAUAAUUCUCCGGUGACCUUUGGAUCAUCCUCCUAAAGGUAAAAAAUGGAUCAUCUGUUGGAAGGACGGCCGCAGGUCCUUGCUGGGCGUUUUCUGAGAGCUGCUAGAGAAUGUUCUCGGGCAACGUCGGUCGAGAUAACCUGGUGCAAGUAACCUCUGCUUCUCAAAUGCUUGGAUCAAGUCAUUUUUUACGAAACCGAGCAGAGAUGAAGUUCACUUGGUUCGGCCUGCAUCCCUGAUGGGUAACUGUUCCCCCUCGCGGGUCAGUGGAAAAGCCAGUGCUGCGCUAAAGCUCUAUUUGUGCUUCAGAGUUUUUUUAUAUUUAUUUAUGCUGACUACUCCAGAUCCUAGCCAGUGGCUGAAUCACAAGUUCCCAUGGUUGCAAAAGAGCCAAUAAUGACUAAGUGGCUUUCGACCGAUGGACAGUGUUGUAGAAGGAUCUGGAAGGCCUAUGUGGCUACUGCUCAGUGUGCUGGCAGCAGGACUGAGGAUUUCUCCAGUUUGAGACCCUGUGGCUUGGAAAUCAGAAGAGAGGCAAGGUCCAAGAGAGUCGUGAUCCUGCAUUUUGGUGUGCUGCAUCAGCUUGCGUUAGUGCUUUCAAAUCCUUUCCCUUGA
rnacentral:lncRNA from 1 species